UAACGUUAGACUCGCACACUUUUGGUUAUUUAAAUCUCAGUUUCUUCACUCCUUCUCAACAUUAUCGACGAAUUUUGGUUCCAGUUGAGAACAGUGAAAUGGUUGAUUUGGACAACUGGCUAAAAACAAAUAGAGAGUUAGUGCUGGAAAAUUCUUUGAAGUCUUUGGGGAGAACA